rfam:Nannochloropsis gaditana strain B-31 chromosome 16, whole genome shotgun sequence.
UCCCUGGUAGUAUAGUGGUCAGAAUCCCUCCCUGUCACGGAGGAGGCCGGGGUUCAAUUCCCCGCCGGGGAG